AGGACGAACGCUGGCGGCGUGCUUAACACAUGCAAGUCGAGCGGAAAGGCCCUUCGGGGUACUCGAGCGGCGAACGGGUGAGUAACACGUGAGCAACCUGCCCUUAGCUCUGGGAUAGCUCCGGGAAACCGGAAUUAAUACCGGAUAUGACCUAGGCCGACAUCGGCCGUGGUGGAAAGUUUUUCGGCUAGGGAUGGACUCGCGGCCUAUCAGCUAGUUGGUGGGGUAAUGGCCUACCAAGGCGACGACGGGUAGCCGGCCUGAGAGGGCGACCGGCCACACUGGGACUGAGACACGGCCCAGACUCCUACGGGAGGCAGCAGUGGGGAAUAUUGCGCAAUGGGCGAAAGCCUGACGCAGCGACGCCGCGUGCGGGAUGAAGGCCUUCGGGUUGUAAACCGCUUUCAGCAGGGACGAAGCGAAAGUGACGGUACCUGCAGAAGAAGCGCCGGCUAACUACGCGCCAGCAGCCGC
rnacentral:rRNA from 1 species